rnacentral:rRNA from 1 species
AUGUGUGUACUAUCGCCAUGGUGGGGCGAGGGAGUUAUCCUUUGCUUGUAUGUUGAUGACAUACUGAUUUUCGGAACAAAUCUGAAUGUUAUUAAGGAGGUCAAGGAUUUCCUAUCUCGUUGUUUCGAGACGAAGGAUUUAGGAGUGGCUGAUGUCAUUCUGAACAUCAAGUUGUUGAGAGACGAUCAUGGUGGGAUCACAUUGCUUCAAUCUCACUAUGUGGAAAAGAUCUUGAGUCGCCUUGGCUAUAGUGACUGCAAGCCCUCUCCAACACCAUAUGAUGCAAGUGUGUUACUUCGAAAGAAUCAAAGAAUUGCUAGAGACCAAUUGAAAUAUUCUCAGAUUAUUGGCUCGCUUAUGUACUUAGCCAGUGCUACAAGACCUGACAUCUCUUUUCCUGUUAGCAAACUGAGUUGGUUUGUCUCAAAACCAGGAGAUGUGCAUUGGAAAGCUCUAGAAAGAGUUUUGCGUUAUUUGAAAGGCACUGCUAAUUAUGGAAUUCACUACACUGGGCACCCAAAGAUGCUUGAAGGGUAUAGUGACUCAAACUGGAUCUCAGAUGCUGAUGAGAUAAAGGCCACGAGUGGAUAUGUAUUCACUCAUGGAGGUGGCGCUAUUUCUUGGAAGUCUUGCAAGCAGACCAUCUUAACGAGGUCAACAAUGGAAGCAGAACUCACAGCACUAGAUACAGCUACGGUCGAAGCAGAUUGGCUUCGCCGGCUCUUGAAUGACUUGCCGGUGGUUGAGAAACCUGUACCGGGUAUCCUAAUGAACUGCGACAAUCAAACUGUGAUCACGAAAGUGCGCAGCUCAAAGUAUAACAUGAAGUCAUCAAGACACGUUCAGGGAAGGUUAAAGUCUGUCAGGAAAAUGAGAAACUCUGGAGUUAUUGCAUUGGAUUAUAUCCAAACGUCUAAAAUUCUGGCAGAUCCUUUUACUAAGGGUCUAUCACGUAAUGUGAUAGAUAAUGCAUCGAGGGAGAUGGGUAUGAGAGCCACAAUAGAUGUUGUCCUGCAGAACAUCUUUUGA